rnacentral:rRNA from 1 species
GUGAACGCUGGCGGCAGGCCUAACACAUGCAAGUCGAGCGGCAGCGCGGGGGCAACCCUGGCGGCGAGCGGCGGACGGGUGAGGAAUUCGUCGGAAUCUGCCUUCUUGUGGGGGAUAACGUAGGGAAACUUACGCUAAUACCGCAUACGUCCUACGGGAGAAAGUGGGGGACCGCAAGGCGUGGCGCAGAGGGAUGAGCCGACGACCGAUCAGCUAGUUGGUGGGGUAGAGGCCUACCAAGGCUACGAUCGGUAGCCGGCCCGAGAGGGUGAUCGGCCACAUUGGGACUAAGAGACGGCCCAGGAGCCUACGGGAGGCAGCAGUGGGGAAUAUUGCACAAUGGGCGGAAGCCGGAUGCAGCAACGCCGGGGGCGGGAUGACGGCCUGCGGGUUGUAAACCGCUUUCGCCUGUGACGAAGCGUGAGUGACGGUAAUGGGUAAAGAAGCACCGGCUAACUACGUG